GCUCAGCCGGGGAGGGUCAUUGGAAACUGGGGAACUUGAGUGCAGAAGAGGAGAGUGGAAUUCCACGUGUAGCGGUGAAAUGCGUAGAGAUGUGGAGGAACACCAGUGGCGAAGGCGACUCUCUGGUCUGUAACUGACGCUGAGGCGCGAAAGCGUGGGGAGCGAACAGGAUUAGAUACCCUGGUAGUCCACGCCGUAAACGAUGAGUGCUAAGUGUUAGAGGGUUUCCGCCCUUUAGUGCUGCAGCAAACGCAUUAAGCACUCCGCCUGGGGAGUACGGUCGCAAGACUGAAACUCAAAGGAAUUGACGGGGGCCCGCACAAGCGGUGGAGCAUGUGGUUUAAUUCGAAGCAACGCGAAGAACCUUACCAGGUCUUGACAUCCUCUGACAACCCUAGAGAUAGGGCUUCCCCUUCGGGGGCAGAGUGACAGGUGGUGCAUGGUUGUCGUCAGCUCGUGUCGUGAGAUGUUGGGUUAAGUCCCGCAACGAACGCAACCCUUGAUCUUAGUUGCCAGCAUUCAGUUGGGCACUCUAAGGUGACUGCCGGUGACAAACCGGAGGAAGGUGGGGAUGACGUCAAAUCAUCAUGCCCCUUAUGACCUGGGCUACACACGUGCUACAAUGGGCAGAACAAAG
rnacentral:rRNA from 1 species